rnacentral:tRNA from 1 species
GAGGUUAUAGCUCAGUGGUAGAGUGCCUGCUUAGCAUGCACAAGGUCCUGGGUUCAAUCCCCAGUCCCUCCA